rnacentral:rRNA from 1 species
UACGUAGGGUGCGAGCGUUGUCCGGAAUUAUUGGGCGUAAAGAGCUCGUAGGCGGUCUGUCACGUCGGCUGUGAAAACCCGAGGCUCAACCUCGGGCCUGCAGUCGAUACGGGCAAACUAGAGUACAGAAGGGGCAACUGGAAUUCUCGGUGUAGCGGUGAAAUGCGUAGAUAUCGAGAGGAACACCUGCGGCGAAGGCGGGUUGCUGGGCUGAUACUGACGCUGAGGCGCGAAAGCCAGGGGAGCGAACGGG